rnacentral:rRNA from 1 species
GUACUUUUUAAGCGAGGAUUAUGUUUUCCUUUAGUUAAUACCUAAAGAGAGUGGAGGUUACUCUCAUAAUAAGCACCGGCUAACUCUGGGCCAGCACCCGCGCUAAUACAGAGGUUGCGAGCGUUAUUCGGAUUUACUGGGCGUAAAGCGUGCGUAGGCGGCUUUUUAAGUCGUAUGUGAAAUCCCUGAGCUUACCUUAUGAUUUGCAUUCGAUACUGUUUAGCUACAGUAUGGUUGAGGAUGGUAAAAUUUCUGGUGUAGCCCUGAAAUGCGUACAGAUUUGGUGGAAUACCGAUGGCUAAGGCAGUCAUCUGGCCUACUACUGCCGCUUAUGUGCU